rnacentral:lncRNA from 1 species
AUAAUCCCACUCCCCUUCCCCUAUCUUAUGUGUUUGAGCCUUGACAAAGGACUGUUGGUUUUCUAAUCACCAUACAGACCCUUGUCUGCCUUGUUUACAAGUCUGCUCUUGUUUGUUAGCCUUUGUAAGAAGUUUGGGGUGUGCCAGUAUCACUCUAUAGGCUAGGUAUGACCACUUCCUACAUUGGUCUCCCUCUAAUCCACAUUUGCACUAUUCCAAUUAGAGUGUAAGCAAUGCUUGGGUUUCCUUGAAAGCCCUUGGAACUUUGUAACACUCUAAAAGAGAAAAGCCUCGGAUCUUGUAAGCAAUUCCUGGGUCCCUUUGAAGGCCUUUGUAACUUUCUAACACUCUAAAAGUGAAAAGCCUCGGAUCUUGGGAGCUCAGAUUUGGUAAAAGGCAUAUGUUGGACAUUAACGUUGCUUCGAGACUCCUCGGUCCUGUUAUAGUAUCCAUUCCAUAUCUUUAUCACGUAUAUAUUGUUGCAUCGACCCCCAUAUAGAUACCAUGUCUAUAGGC